GUUAAGCGACUAAGCGUACACGGUGGAUGCCCUGGCAGUCAGAGGCGAUGAAGGGCGUGCUAAUCUGCGAUAAGCGCCGGUAAGGUGAUAUGAACCGUUAUAACCGGCGAUACCCGAAUGGGGAAACCCAGUGUGAUUCGUCACACUAUCAUUAACUGAAUCCAUAGGUUAAUGAGGCGAACCGGGGGAACUGAAACAUCUAAGUACCCCGAGGAAAAGAAAUCAACCGAGAUUCCCCCAGUAGCGGCGAGCGAACGGGGAGGAGCCCAGAGCCUGAAUCAGCAUGUGUGUUAGUGGAAGCGUCUGGAAAGGCGCGCGAUACAGGGUGACAGCCCCGUACACAAAAGCGCAUGUGCUGUGAGCUCGAUGAGUAGGGCGGGACACGUGGUAUCCUGUCUGAAUAUGGGGGGACCAUCCUCCAAGGCUAAAUACUCCUGACUGACCGAUAGUGAACCAGUACCGUGAGGGAAAGGCGAAAAGAACCCCGGCGAGGGGAGUGAAAAAGAACCUGAAACCGUG
rnacentral:rRNA from 1 species